AUUGAACGCUGGCGGCAGGCCUAACACAUGCAAGUCGAGCGGUAGAGAGGUGCUUGCAUCUCUUGAGAGCGGCGGACGGGUGAGUAAUGCCUAGGAAUCUGCCUAGUGGUGGGGGAUAACGUUCGGAAACGGACGCUAAUACCGCAUACGUCCUACGGGAGAAAGCGGGGGAUCUUCGGACCUCGCGCCAUUAGAUGAGCCUAGGUCGGAUUAGCUAGUUGGUGAGGUAAUGGCUCACCAAGGCGACGAUCCGUAACUGGUCUGAGAGGAUGAUCAGUCACACUGGAACUGAGACACGGUCCAGACUCCUACGGGAGGCAGCAGUGGGGGAAUAUUGGACAAUAGGGCGAAAGACCUGAUCCAGCCAUGCCGCGUGUGUGAAG
rnacentral:rRNA from 1 species